GACGAACGCUGGCGGCGUGCUUAACACAUGCAAGUCGAACGCUGAAGACCUGGCUUUUGUUGGGUUGGAUGAGUGGCGAACGGGUGAGUAACACGUGAGUAACCUGCCCUCUUCUUUGGGAUAACGCCCGGAAACGGGUGCUAAUACUGGAUAUUCACUGGCCUUCGCAUGGGGGUUGGUGGAAAGGUUUGUUCUGGUGGGGGAUGGGCUCGCGGCCUAUCAGCUUGUUGGUGGGGUGAUGGCCUACCAAGGCUUUGACGGGUAGCCGGCCUGAGAGGGUGACCGGUCACAUUGGGACGGAGAUACGGCCCAGACUCCUACGGGAGGCAGCAGUGGGGAAUAUUGCACAAUGGGCGAAAGCCUGAUGCAGCGACGCCGCGUGAGGGAUGGAGGCCUUCGGGUUGUAAACCUCUUUCGCUCAUGGUCAAGCCGCAACUGUGGGUUGUGGUGAGGGUAGUGGGUAAAGAAGCGCCGGCUAACUACGUG
rnacentral:rRNA from 1 species